AAAAGAAUUUUAAUGAUAUUCUUCAUAAAGAUUAAUUUAUGUUAAUCAUUAGAUACGCUGUAAUUAAUUUCAUAACAUAAACUUAUUGUGUUCAUAAAAGAACUUAUUAUUAACUAUAACAUUGACUUAUACCAUGUAUAAGUUUUGUGUUAUGGCUGAAAAGUAUAACAUUCUCCUAAUAUAUUUUCUAAGGUUUGGUUUUGAAAACUUCCUCCACCACAAACAAACGGUGUCGUCGUCGUCGUCGUCAACGGAAGAAGCCAUUGUGGCACUUUUUUGUCCUUUGUGAACCUGUAAAAUCAGUUGUAAAUCACGAGUACCCCGGGAAAUCGCUACACUAUCCGGAACAACGAAAUAUCGGUGCCAGCAGCUACAUCAUGGCCAAUGGAAGCUGCCCGUCCAACAGAACCGAAAAUCGGAACUCUAUCAGACGAAUCCAAAUGAAGGGGAGCAGCAUCAUGAUGGACACCAGAUCGGUUUUCAACUGCAAUAACAACACUGCAAGCAAUCUCACCCUGCAGGACAUGUCCAUUUUACCAUCGCAAUUCAACGGAGGCAUAUCUUCAUUUGACACAAACACCGUCUCCAAAUCCUUCGACAGCGCUAACAGUCAGGAAUCUUUCGUCGACGAGGUGCAGCCACUUCAACGGUGCUUCAACCGCUCGAUCCGUACGAAAAGGGAAGCAACGGUGUUAACGAAAUCUCCAGCAACAUCGUCGAAGCGGAUCCUAGAAGGCCUCGAUACACCAACGCAAACGAGAUCGCAAUGUUUUGCCGUAGCUUUCUUGCAAGCGCGCUGAUUGGUACCAAGAUUAAAUAAAACAUCAAUGUGCGAAUUGAAUUCAAAACUUAUUAUUACUAUUACAAAUUAUUACUAUUACAAAAAAACAAAAAAGAAAUAAAAUAUUCAGGAUCUAAAUCAAAAUA